rnacentral:lncRNA from 1 species
AGCACCUUCGCCGAUCUUUAUAAUCUUGCUGAAUGGGACGAUAUCCCUUUUAGAUUGCAUGAUGAUUCCAUACACAAUAUUUUCACUUUUAUUGUUAAAGUUUACUUUUUGCAACCAUCACUUCCCGUGAAAAGAAAUAACUUAAUUAAUGCUCUACAUCAAAAACAAGAACACAUAGGGUGCUCCCCUCUCCAUUUUUAUUUUGGUUGUUAUGGUUGUUGCCAGAUAUUCUCUCUGCAUUUUCUAUUAUUAAAAUGAAUGUCAAGCCAGAGGAGAGUAUGUUCAUGCUGUCAUAGGGUGGAUGCUUAGAUUCCAUCUGAACGUUGUUUUUCAGGGAAGACGUGUUAGAUGAUUUGAUCACCUGUCAGAACUGUCUCUAUGAAAUGUCUUCUCUUCUCUUCUCCUUACCAUCUGUACAGAAAAAAAGAACAAAGCUUCCCAUUCUCCAAAAAGGUCUGGUUGCUCAGUCUCAAUGACUUUUGCUUCAUCAUCAAUCUCUUGCUGCCCCCUCUUUGUGGAUAUCUUGCAAAGUACUUUCCUGGGUUCUCUUCAAAUAUUUUAUAUUUUCUUUGUUGGAAAGUUCAACGCUACUCCUGGAUUCAAAUAAUUUUUUGGUCCAGAUGACUCCCAAAUUUGGAUAAGUGGAUAGCUUCAAUUUCUCUCCUAAAUUUUAGUACUAUAUUAUGAAAUAAACUGCCUUUUAUAUGUUUCUACA